rnacentral:rRNA from 1 species
UACGUAGGAUGCGAGCGUUGUCCGGAAUUAUUGGGCGUAAAGAGCACGUAGGUGGCCUUUUAAGUUCGAUCUUAAAGACCGGGGCUCAACCCCGGGAAUGGAUUGAAGACUGGGAGGCUAGAGGAUGUUAGAGGACGGUGGAAUUCCCAGUGUAGCGGUGAAAUGCGUAGAUAUUGGGAGGAACACCAGUGGCGAAAGCGGCCGUCUGGAACAUUCCUGACACUGAGGUUCGAAAGCUCGGGGAGCAAACAGG